UUCUGACGUGCAAAUCGAUCGUCAAAUUUGGGUAUAGGGGCGAAAGACUAAUCGAACCAUCUAGUAGCUGGUUCCCACCGAAGUUUCCCACAGGAUAGCUGGAACUUUUAACAGUUUUAUCAGGUAAAGCGAAUGAUUAGAGGCUCGAGGGGCGAAAUGCCCUUCUCCUAUUCUCAAACUUUAAAUAGGUAAGACGCUUCGGUUUGCUUAAUUGAAACCAAGCAUUGAAUGUGAGUUCCAAGUGGGCCAUUUUUGGUAAGCAGAACUGGCGAUGCGGGAUGAACCGAACGCGGAGUUAAGGUGUCUAAGUCGGCACUCAUCAGACCCCACAAAAAGUGUUGGUUGAUCAUGACAGCAGGACGGUGGCCAUGGAAGUUGGAAUCCGCUAAGGAAUGUGUAACAACUCACCUGCCGAAUCAAUUAGCCUUGAAAAUGGAUGACGCUUAAGUGCCGCACCGAUACUCUGCCGCUGAGGCAAAUGCGAGGCCUCAGCGAGUAGGUGGGCGUGCCGGUUGUGAGGAAGCGUGGGGCGUGAGCCUGCGUGAAACGGCCGGUAGUGCAGAUCUUGGUGGUAGUAGCAAAUAUUCAAAUGAGAACUUUGAAGACUGAAGUGGCGAACGGUUCCAAAUGAACAGCAGUUGGAUUUGGGUUAGUCGGUCCUAAGAGAUAGGUUAACUCCGUUUUAAGGUGCAGCUUUAGCUGCCUCCUAUCGAAAGGGAAUCAGGUUAAUAUUCCUGAACCGGGAUGAGGGUAUUUACUGCGGCAACGCAAACGAAGUCGUCGACGGCGGCGGGGGCCCUGGAAAGAGUUCUCUUUUCUUUUUAACGCACCUAUUGCCCUGGAAGCGAAUCAAUCGGAGAUAGGGCUACAUGGGCGGUAAAGCACAGCACUUCACGUUGUGUCCGGUGCGCUCCCGACGCCCCUUGAAAAGACGACGGAGAUAAUGAUCAUCUCACCCGGCCGUACGCAUAACCGCAGCAGGUCGCCAAGGUGAACAGCCUCUAGUUGAUAGAACAAUGUAGGUAAGGGAAGUCGGCAAAGUAGAUCCGUAACUUCGGGAAAAGGAUUGGCUCUAAGGACUGGGCGUCAGAGACUUGGUGACAACGCGACGGCACCUAAGCCCGGUAUUGGGGUCCUUUACGGAACCCGAGAAAGGCGGUGGGGCUGAAGCUGCGGAGCCUUGUUUGGCCACUCGGCCGUUCUGGCGCAAUUAACAGUCAACUUAGAACUGGUACGGACAAGGGGAAUCCGACUGUUUAAUUAAAACAAAGCAUUGCGAUGGCCGGAAAUGGUGNUGACGCAAUGUGAUUUCUGCCCAGUGCUCUGAAUGUCAAAGUGAAGAAAUUCAACCAAGCGCGGGUAAACGGCGGGAGUAACUAUGACUCUCUUAAGGUAGCCAAAUGCCUCGUCAUCUAACUAGUGACGCGCAUGAAUGGAUUAACGAGAUUCCCACUGUCCCUACUUACUACGCAGCGAAACCGCAGCCAAGGGAACGGACUUGGCAGAAACAGCGGGGAAAGAAGACCCUGUUGAGCUUGACUCUAGUCCGACUUUGUGAAAAGACAUUGGAGGUGUAGCAUAGGUGGGAGCUCCGGCGCCAAUGAAAUACCACUACUCUGAUCGUUUUUUUACUUAUUCAAUUAGGCGGAGAUGGGCUUCACCGCCCACCUUCUGGAUUUAAGGCGUUUCGCGCGCUGAUCCGAGUUGAAGACAUUGUCAGGUGGGGAGUUUGGCUGGGGC
rnacentral:rRNA from 1 species